CAGUCGCCGCGGUAAUACAGAGGGUGCAAGCGUUAAUCGGAAUUACUGGGCGUAAAGCGCGCGUAGGUGGUUUGUUAAGUUGGAUGUGAAAUCCCCGGGCUCAACCUGGGAACUGCAUCCAAAACUGGCAGGCUAGAGUAGGGCAGAGGGUGGUGGAAUUUCCUGUGUAGCGGUGAAAUGCGUAGAUAUAGGAAGGAACACCAGUGGCGAAGGCGACCACCUGGGCUCAUACUGACACUGAGGUGCGAAAGCGUGGGGAGCAAACAGGAUUAGAUACCCCUGUAGUCCCUGUCUCUUAUAA
rnacentral:rRNA from 1 species